GCCCGGAUGGCGGAAUUGGUAGACGCGUUGGUCUCAAACACCAAUGAAUGCAAAUUCGUGCCGGUUCGAUCCCGGCUCCGGGCAC
rnacentral:tRNA from 2 species